rnacentral:rRNA from 1 species
UACGUGAGGGCGCAAGCGUUGUCCGGAAUUAUUGGGCGUAAAGAGCUCGUAGGCGGUUUGUCGCGUCUGCUGUGAAAACCUAAGGCUCAACCUUGGGCUUGCAGUGGGUACGGGCAGACUAGAGUGCGGUAGGGGUGACUGGAAUUCCCGGUGUAGCGGUGGAAUGCGCAGAGUAUCGGGAGGAACACCCGUGGCGAAGGCGGGUCCCGUGGGACGGUACUGACGCAGAGACGGCGAAAGCGUGGGGAGCGACGAGG